rnacentral:rRNA from 1 species
GGCCGCAGUAUUUUAACUGUGCAAAGGUAGCAUAAUCAUUAGUCUUUUAAUUAAGGGCUAGAAUGAAUGGUUGGACGAGGUAAAUUCUAUAUUUUAAUAAAAAAUUGAAUUUAGAAUUUAAGUUAAAAUACUUAAAUAUUAAUAAGGGACGAGAAGACCCUAUAGAGUUUUAUAAGCAAGAUUUUAAUUGAGUUUUUAAGUAAUUUUUGGUUAAUUAUUAAGUUUAUUUAAUUGGGGUGAUUAAAAGAUAAAGAAAACUCUUUUUUGAUUUAAAUAUAUUUAAUAGAGGUUAGAUCCAUAAAUUAUAUUAAUGAUUAUAAGAUUAAAUUACCUUAGGGAUAACAGCAUAA